GGGGAUGACUUGAUUCGACGGGAAAAGCACCUUAAUAACUGCAAGCCGGCCAUGAUCCAAUGCCGUAAAACUGAAUCACAAUAUAAAUGCUGGUAAAAACCGCAUUUCAGAUCUAAUGGCGGAGGCCGAAGCAAUUCGCGCCGAACUCUUUGGAUCUAGACCACAAGUUUUAGCAUACGCUUAAGCUUUAGUCUUGUUCAUAAUCUUCUUUCCUCAACGGGAAGUUAUGGGCACAAACACAGUUGAGGAUAUUAGUAAGGAAAUCGGUUUGUUUCCUUAUCGAACUUAUCUAACCUUGGCUUUACUACUCCUGUCAAUUGGAAAAAGUAAAGCGAAAUCCAAAAAUUGACUACGCUUGUAGAAGUUGUAAGAAGAUUUUACUCGGACUCCGGUUCACUGCCGGACAUCUCCACCC
rnacentral:tmRNA from 1 species